GCACAAAGAUUUCCCAAAUGAGGUGUCCCAUGAGCUGCUCCCACCCCAGCCCUGGAAGGUUGAUAAGAGACAUUACUCCUGGCCAGUGUGGAGAUGCGCCUAGCCUGGGAUUGCUGUGGCACCCUAAGUGAAGAGGCAGACAGGUCUUCAGUAAAAUGUUGAAUGGAUGUUGAAGUAGAUUCUGUACGGUCCAUGCUCUCCAGAUAUCUGCAGUCCAGCAGGAGCUGAGUGGCGUAGCACUGCCUACACUUCUGCCCGACUUCUAGUCACUUGCUCUUCUGAGGAAGCUUGAAGAUGUUACAGCCUCCCCUUCCAACUCAACUGACUCCUCGAGUCACAGCCCCUGCCUGUAUUCAUUGAGCCUCUGUUUCCUCACCUGCCAGUGAGAGUGACCACAGUACCUGCCUCAAAGUGUUGCUGAGAAAAUUAGAGAUGAUAUUUUAACUUUUUAUUUUUCUUAUGGAUGUUUGGGUAGAUUAGGAAGUCUGAAAGCAUCAACACUCUAUUGUUGUGUGUGUGUGUUUGUGUGUGUGUUUUGAGAUGGGGUCUCCCUCUAUCAUCCAGGCUAAAGUGCAGUGGCAUGAUCAUCUUACUAGAUCCUCAAACUCCUGGACUCAAGCCAUUAACCCUCCUCAGCCUCCCAAGUAGCUGGGUCUACAGCUGCAUGACACCAUGCCUGACUGUUGUUAAUGGUGGUUAUCUUUGAGUGGUGGGAUUAUUGGUAACUAAUUUUUCUUUUUGUUUAAUGUACUUUCAACGUUUUAAGAAAUUUUUAAAAUAAUAAAUAAAUUUUAAAAAAGAAACCUAGAAUGGUCAUAUGAUCUAGCAAUUCCAUUUCUGGGUAUAUCACGAAAGAAUUGAAAGCUGAGACUUGAACAGAUAAUUAUAAACUAAUGCUCAUUAUGGCAUUAUGGCAACUGCUAAAAGGUGGAAACAACCCAAAUGUCCAUUGACAGAUGAAUGGGUGAACAAAAUGUGGUAUAUAUACACAAGAAAUAUUAGUCAGGCCUGAUGUGGU
rnacentral:lncRNA from 10 species